CUUGUGAUCUUUUGUAUCUAUUUUAAUUACCUAUUAUAAUUUUUAGGUAAUCUUGUUCAUCAAAAUUAUUUUAACUAACAGUGAAUUGAGUUUACCUACUUUCGCUCAUUCAAAAAGUAGUGAAACAUGGGCUUAAUACAAUCAGUAUUUUGUUCUAUAGUAUUCUGCGUUGAGAGAGUGCUAACAUGGACUUGCUGUGCUUUCCUGCUCAUGUUAAUGAUGUUUACAAUCAUCAUACUGAUAGUGUACGGCAUAUCAGUUGGAUAUCAUUAUGCUCAAAAAGAACUUGCUUUCUUUGCAAUGACCUCUCGAACGACGACUGAACCGACGACGUCAAGACGAUCUGGUGGCGGCAGCGCCGACAGUCGACCAAUCGUGCGACUGGUUGCCGUCAACCUGUCAGAAGUCGAGUCUGCGCCGGCACCUCUUCUUGAGAUCGACCAAACCAAAAGGCCAGGCGAACGCGUUUACUUGGAGACAUCUGCAACCCCAGUUGUCCUUCUUGAAACACAAAGGCCACCUGCUGAGCCGGAAUUGUCACCACAUGAAAGAGAGCUGACGCGUAACCUGAUUGUAAGAUUCCGUCGAUCAAGAAACACCACCUCCACGACAAUGCCGUUUCUACGUCCUCUUAAUAGCACAGAACCGCCUAUACCAGCAGCUGCAUAGAAAUUCCUUCAUUUGAAACAUUUACUUAACUAAUUACCAGAAAGUUGUAAUUAUUGUACUCCAUGUGUGCAGUAGAGUUGUAGAUUAUCUAGAAAAUAAACAAUCGAUUGUAUCGAACUAA